UAAGCCCGAUGAACCUGAAUAUCUAAUAUGAGAAAUUCAAUAUUAAAGAAUAUAUUAAAUAGUAUUUAAUAUAUAAAGUAAUGUGCAAUUUUUUCAUAUAAGGACAUUGUAAUCUGUUAAUAUAUUAAAAUUUAUCAUAAGUAUCGUUUGGAUAGUUUAUUCAUUAUUUAUUUCAUUGAGAUAAAUAUGUAUAAAGUCCAAUUUAAAUACGAUUACGGAUAAAUUAUUGACAGAUAUUUUAUAUAUAACGCCUAACAUUCUAUAUAUGUUUAUAAUGAAAUGAUAAUUUUAUAUAUUAUCAUUUUAAAGAUUAUAUGCGUUUAUAUGAUUAACAAUGCUAUAGAUUUAGGAUACCUUCGGGACCCGUCUUGAAACACGGACCAAGGAGUCUAACAUGUGUGCAAGUCAUUGGAUUAUUAUAAAAUCUAAAGGCAUAAUUAACUUAACUAUUUUUAUAAUGGGAUCAAUUUUAUAUUUUAUUAUGUAGAAUAUAGAUUCCAUCCCGGGGCGUUCUAUAUAGUUAUGUAUUUUAAUAUAAAUUUUUAUAUUAUAUAUACCUCUAACUAGAGCGUACCUUGAGCAUAUAUGUUGUGACCCGAAAGAUGGUGAACUAUACCUGAUCAGGUUGAAGUCAGGGGAAACCCUGAUGGAAGACCGAAACAGUUCUGACGUGCAAAUCGAUUGUCAGAAUUGGGUAUAGGGGCGAAAGACCAAUCGAACCAUCUAGUAGCUGGUUCCCUCCGAAGUUUCCCUCAGGAUAGCUGGUGCAUUUAAAUAUGAUGUAAAAUAAUCUUAUCUGGUAAAGCGAAUGAUUAGAGGCAUUAGGGCCGAAACGACCUUAACCUAUUCUCAAACUUUAAAUGGGUAAGAACCUCACCUUUCUUGAUAUGAAGGUGUAGGUUAUGAUAUAUUGUGCCCAGUGGGCCACUUUUGGUAAGCAGAACUGGCGCUGUGGGAUGAACCAAACGUGAUGUUACGGCGCCUAAAUUAACAACUCAUACUGAUACCAUGAAAGGCGUUGCUUGCUUAAAACAGCAGGACGGUGGACAUGGAAGUCGUAAUCCGCUAAGGAGUGUGUAACAACUCACCUGCCGAAGCAACUAGCCCUUAAAAUGGAUGGCGCUCAAGUUGUAUGCCUAUACAUUACCGCUAAAGCAUAUGAUUUAUAUGAAUUAAGAGAUUUUUUCUAUAAAUUUUGAAGUUUUAGUGAGUAGGAGGGUACAAUGGUGUGCGUAGAAGUGUUUGGUGUAAACCUGCAUGGAGCCGCCAUUGGCACAGAUCUUGGUGGUAGUAGCAAAUAAUCGAAUGAGACCUUGGAGGACUGAAGUGGAGAAGGGUUUCGUGUGAACAGUGGUUGAUCACGAGUUAGUCGGUCCUAAGUUCAAGGCGAAAGCCGAAUAAUUUUUUAAGUUAUAUAUGAAAUAUACUUAAGAUGUUGAACGAAAGGGAAUACGGUUCCAAUUCCGUAACCUGUUGAGUAUACGUUUGUUAUUAAAAAUGGGCUUUUAUGCUCAUCCUGGUAACAGAAACAACCAUAAAGAAGCCGUCGAGAGGUAUCGGAAGAGUUUUCUUUUCUGUUUUAUAGUCGUACUACCAUGGAAGUCUUUCGAAGAGAGAUAUGGUAGAUGGACUAGAAGAGCAUGGCAUUUACUGCUGUGUCGAUAUUUUCUCCUCGGACCUUGAAAAUUUAUGGUAGGGUCACGCAAACUUCUCAACAGGCCGUACCGAUAUCCGCAGCUGGUCUCCAAGGUGAAGAGUCUCUAGUCGAUAGAAUA
rnacentral:rRNA from 1 species